UGUUGGAAUAUAAAAAUAAACUUGAUUUUUUGAGUGAAGAUAUUUUAAAAGAAAAAUAUAGAGAAUUCUAGAAAAAGUAAGUGAAGAUAUUUGUAUUAGAAAUAUCUAGAAUCAAGAUAUUUUACAAGAAAAAUAUAGAGAAUUCUAGAAAAAGUAAGUGAAGAUAUUUGUAUUAGAAAUAUCUAGAAUCAAGAUAUUUUAAGUAGAAAAAUCUAGAUAGAAAAAAUCAAGAGAAUUCUAGAAUUCUCACUUGACUACUAUAUAUAUGUGGAGGUUGUAUCAAUUGUUUAGAAUGAAGUGAAUUGAAGAAAAAUUGUGUUAGUAAACAACAAUCCUCCCACUCAAAUUCCUAAGCACACACACGUCCACAACCAAUUUCUCUAAAUUUCCUCCUACCAAUUAAAUAAAUUCUCCAUUAUAUAUUCUUAUAUUCCAACAAAGUGGUAUCAGAGCCAUAAAAUCCUACCUGUGGAAUGGCCAACCUACAAUCGUUUCAAGUCCCCAUGCUCAACAAGAGCAACUUCGACAAUUGGAGCAUCAAGAUGAAGGCGCUAUUGGGAGCCCACGACGUUUGGGAGAUCGUGGAGAACGGCUACGAGGAGCCGCAGGACGAGGCCGCACUAUCCCAACAACAAAAGGAUAGAUUGCGAGACGCGAGAAAGAGAGACAAGAAGGCUCUCUGUCUCAUUUAUCAAGCGCUAGGGAACGAUGAUUUCGAGAAAAUCUCGAACGCGAGCACCGCCAAAGAAGCGUGGGAGAAGCUCCAGAACGCGUGCAAAGGAGCGGAGCAAGUAAAAAAGGUACGACUUCAAACUUUAAGAGGAGAGUUUGAGUCAUUACAUAUGAAAGAGUCCGAAUCAAUUUCGGAUUAUUUUUCAAGAGUCUUNAUUCUCACUUGACUACUAUAUAUAUGUGGAGGUUGUAUCAAUUGUUUAGAAUGAAGUGAAUUGAAGAAAGAUUGUGUUAGCAAACUACAAUCCUCCCACUCAAAUUCCUAAGCACACACGUCCACAACCAAUUUCUCCAAAUUUCCUUCUACCAAUUAAAUAAAUCCUCCAUUAUAUAUACUUAUAUUCCAACAAAGUGGUAUCCGAGCCAUAAAAUCCUACCUGUGGAAUGGCCAACCUACAAUCGUUUCAAGUCCCCAUGCUCAACAAGAGCAACUUCGACAAUUGGAGCAUCAAGAUGAAGGCGCUAUUGGGAGCCCACGACGUUUGGGAGAUCGUGGAGAACGGCUACGAGGAGCCGCAGGACGAGGCCGCACUAUCCCAACAACAAAAUGAUAGAUUGCGAGACAUGAGAAAGAGAGACAAGAAGGCUCUCUGUCUCAUUUAUCAAGCGCUAGGGGACGAUGAUUUCGAGAAAAUCUCAAACGCGAGCACCGCCAAGGAAGCAUGGGAGAAGCUCCAGAACGCGUGCAAAGGAGCGGAGCAAGUAAAAAAGGUACGACUUCAAACUUUAAGAGGAGAGUUUGAGUCUUUGCAUAUGAAAGAGUCCGAGUCAAUUUCGGAUUAUUUUUCAAGAGUCUUGGCGGUGUCUAAUCAAAUGAAAAGAAAUUGUGAAAAAUUGGAGGAUGUAAGAAUUAUGGAGAAAAUAUUACGCUCACUAACUCCAAGAUUUGAGCAUAUAGUAAUCACAAUUGAAGAAACUAAAAAUUUGGAGGAGAUGACGAUCGAUCUUUUGUUGGGAUCGUUGCAAGCAUAUGAGGAGAAGCAAAAGAAGAAGCAAGAGAUUUCAGAGCAACUUUUAAAGUUGCAAGUAAGCCCGAAAGAGACAGAAGAAGGUCCGAGCAAUGGCCAUGGACAGUUCGGGAGAGGACGUGGCCAAGGACAAGAUCGAGGCAGAGGCAGAGGCCGUGGACGUGGACAUCGACGAGGACGAGGAGGCUUCGUCAACAAUGGUGAAAGAAAUGAGUUUACUAGUGGUCGGGGGAGGAGCAACCCGCAGUCGAGGUACGAUAAAUCUUCGAUAAAGUGUUAUAAUUGCCAUAAAUUUGGGCACUAUGCUUCCGAGUGCAGAAGUGAAAAAGUAAGGAUUGAAGAGAAGGCCAAUUACGCCGAAAGUACAAAUCAAGAUAUUGGUAGUGUGCUUCUGGCAUAUAAAGGAGAAGCUGGAAGACGAGAUGACACGUGGUACCUCGACACCGGUGCAAGCAACCACAUGUGCGGGAAGAGAAGCAUGUUCGUGGAGCUCGAUGAGUCGGUAAGUGGCAACGUCUCCUUUGGUGAUGAAUCUAAAAUUCCAGUUAAAGGAAAAGGAAAAAUUUUAAUUCGCUUGAAGAAUGGAAAUCAUGAAUUUAUUUCCAACGUUUACUACGUGCCCAAUAUGAAAAAUAAUAUCUUGAGUUUGGGACAACUCUUAGAGAAAGGUUAUGAUAUUCACAUGAGAGAUUAUAACCUUUCAAUAAGAGAUGGCAAAAAUAAUCUUAUUGCCAAGGUGCCAAUGUCG
rnacentral:lncRNA from 1 species